AUUGGUAGUGGAUAAGGGGGC
rnacentral:miRNA from 1 species